CCUACGGGUGGCAGCAGUGAGGAAUAUUGGUCAAUGGACGAGAGUCUGAACCAGCCAAGUAGCGUGAAGGAUGACUGCCCUAUGGGUUGUAAACUUCUUUUAUAAAGGAAUAAAACGAGGCACGUGUGCCUUUUUGCAUGUACUUUAUGAAUAAGGAUCGGCUAACUCCGUGCCAGCAGCCGCGGUAAUCCGGAGGAUCCGAGCGUUAUCCGGAUUUAUUGGGUUUAAAGGGAGCGUAGAUGGGUUGUUAAGUCAGUUGUGAAAGUUUGCGGCUCAACCGUAAAAUUGCAAUUGAUACUGGCAGUCGUGAGUACAGUUGAGGUAGGCGGAAUUCGUGGUGUAGCGGUGAAAUGCUUAGAUAUCACGAAGAACCCCGAUUGCGAAGGCAGCUUACUAAACUGUGACUGACAUUGAUGCUCGAAAGUGUGGAUAUCAAACAGGAUUAGAUACCCUGGUAGUC
rnacentral:rRNA from 1 species